UAUAAACACUAGGAUCCUAGUAUUCAUCCUACUACAAAACCUGUCACGGGAAGAACUGUUGAUGCUAUAGAAGAAGUUUCUAACUCAGAGAGGACAGAUGAACUGACCAUUUUAAUCAGCAGCAUAAUGAAUGUUUUUGUUAAGGAAGUUUUGUAUUUUUAAUAUCUUUUCAGAAAAAACUAAAAAGGAACUAAAGAAAAAAAGCCAGGCCAAAACCCUAACUCUGCUCUUGUGAGGCCUUCAGCUGUGUAACGUUAGAUUAACAGCAAACAGAGUCUUUCAAAGAUGAAGGAUAUUUUUUAUUUCACUGAUAAAAAAGUUAAUUCCACUCAGUACUGUUUUUUUUUUUAACCACAUCUGAUAAAGAGGUUUCUAUUAAAUGCAUUUUAAUGAAUGAUUCUAGAAUGAUACCAGAACUAUUAUAGAAAACAUUACCUGAGAUGCUUGCUUUGACAUUUGAAUAAUUUGAUUAAGAAAAUAUAGGAAUUCAAAUCUAUAUGGAAGACACAAGGAAAAAAAAUAAUAACGGAAAUACAUGGUGAUUAAAUUCUGAACCCCAAAAUAGAUAUUUGAGCUCCUCAUUUAACUACAAUAUAAUUUGGGAAUGCAUGGAAAGACCAUUAGAAGCUGAUGAGUAACCAGGAAUAAAUAGUACUGAAGAAUAAAGCUUAGCUGUACAGCCUCUCUGGAAAUAAUUAUUCCUUUCAGUUGUGACCAAAACCAUCCUGAAUUUGGUUUCCUAAUGGAGUUCAUCAGUUUAUGAAGGCUUUUUUUUAAAAAAAAAAAAAAAAAAAAAAAAACAUCGUAGGAAAAACAAAGGACUCUCCAAACCACAGGACUGGAAAACUUGUCUGGAUAGGGAGCAAUAGCUUCAAAGCUGUUUAUUAGUAAUACUUCUCUGUAUAAUACAGAGCAGUAAUUUGAACUGCUACAUAGAGGGAGAAGACUGACUGUCCAUUUACUGAAGGGAAAAGGUUAUCAGUAGCAAAGGCUCUCCCCUUGACAAUGUUAAAACUUCCAAAUGCUGAAACAGUCAUCAGGGUGCAGGACUAUCUCAGCUCACCUAGGAUGCGGAAAACCACGUGUAUCUUUUUAUUUAUUCAUUUCCAUACUCUUUCUUAAGAAAGUACCUAUAUUCUGAGUGCAAAGAGUCUCUCCAAAAAGCUCAUUUCUACAAAGAACAUGAAGCAGAUCUCACAUUUAUGCUCUUUGCAAGUUAGUUUUACAGACAACAUCAGGACUAAACCCAACUACAUCAUAGCCUAAAAACUAUUCAUGUGAUCUUUCUCCCCAGUUGCGUAGACUCUGUCUGUAAUAAAAUACAACAGAACUUGUAUUCUACUGAUUUUUAGUGCCUUUAGAACACUUUUACCUCAUUCUGGGCCUUUCUUUGUGGUUCUUGCUUUGUAACUGUGUAAUUGAAAACAUGCUGUAGGGAUAUAUCAAUAAAAAUAUUACUCUACCAACAAAAGGACUUUAAAAAACAACUCAAUUUUGUAUUAUGACCUCUCCAGUAACUACUUUAUAUAAAAAUAUGUACAUAAAUGUACCUAUUUAUAUUUUGAAUUUUAAAAAAAUGAUCUUUAUGUCACUGAGUUUUCUCAAUGUAAAUAUUCAUAAUAUAUGUCAUUCUAGUCUAUUUCUCUAUUCAACUGUAACUUCUCAGUGGCUGGGGCCACUAUUAGCUCCACUUUACCACUACAGAAAUAAAGACAAGAGGCGUUAUCAGUAUUGUAGUGAGAGCCCUUGAAAAUUUCUUCCCUGACACAUGGCAAGUAGUACAUACAGGGGUGAGAUAGAAUAGAAGUGAGAAUCUAUUUAUUUUUCUUCUUUGUUGAAAAAAAAAACCCACAGCUUUCUCGUACUAUAUUAAUAUAUUAACAAAUGUCUUACCAUUACCAGAUUAAUGAAACACAUGAAAACGCCACAUGCCUACAGAUAAAAGAAAGCAUUGUAGUUGAGAAAAGCUUAUCUUCCAACUACCUACACCUCUCCUCCUCCUCCCCUUAUUUUAUUAUUUUGCUUAGUGAAAGCUGUCACAUGGUAAGAUGAGGUUUUGACACUUGCUAGCCAAAGAACCUGACCAUUUAAACAAAAGCGAGCGAACUGUUUCCUGGAAACAGUCUCCCACCACAGCAAGGGAAAGACACAGAAGAAAUGGUGAUUCUGAAUCAUAUUUCCUGAUUGAAAGUGGACUCACAGAUUGAACAUCUCCCACUAUCCCCAGCUGCAUAAGGUAAACCAGAGAAAUACAGUUUCAACAAAUUUAAACAACAAAAAAUUAAAAACAAUUUGAACAAAAAAAGGAAAUAAAAAGUGAUGUCUCCCAGAGUCUUGAAGGAUCAGCAGGAGUGCACAAUUUGCAUUAAAGCAAACUGGACUCCAGGAACUCUAUCACUGAUGUUUUGUCCCAGAGAAGGGAUACUUUUUCCUUUUUUUAACUGAUAACUUUUAUACUUUCAUUUAGGACUACAAUGAUAUCAAAUUUUGAUAUUUCAAGUAGAUGGAAUUAUCAUACUCUAAACUAAACAAAAUUCCUAUUUUAGAAACUCUUCUUCCCAUUAGUUGGUAGUCAGUUAUGACAUUUCACAUCCUGCUAAUGCAUUUCUAAUAAGGAAUUAUGUACUCCAUUUCAAAGUUGUUACUUUAAAUGUAUUAAAGGUGAAAGUGAUACUUGAUAUUCAAAGCAUUCCGGUAUUAAUUAUUUAAAGCAAAAGAUCUGUACUAGGUAGUCUAAAGUGUUUAAACUUCAGCACUUUCUAAGAAAAUACAUUAGAAGUGUCUUCUGGCUGGAUCAAAUUUGAACAUGGUAGAUCAACCAAAGCAUUAGUGCAAAAUCAUCACUAAAUAUCCACUUAACAACAUGACUACUAUAGUAAAUUGUGCUACCAAAAAACUUCCACUUCAGUCUAGUUCUCUAUGAGAGUUGACUAUACCUGGAAUGUGUUAAGAUGUAUUUCAAGCUGUGAAUGAGAAUUGACCACAAAGUUUUGAGCAAGAUGCAAAUACAAAGCUAUGUUUAAAGAGAGCCAGCAUGUGGUUCUGUGCAUUUAUUAAGACAAGUUAAACUCAUUUAACAUAAGAAAAUCAAAACAUGUUUGUUCAAAAUUCAGCAUUAUAAUAAGAAUUUGGGUUUACAUCAUAAUUGUAUCCUGGAGUAGAAAUGAUACAAGAAUAAAGUUGCACACAAUCAUAAUAAAAAGGUACAUAUUAAAAAACAGGAUCAGAUGAACAAGAAAAUUUGUUAGGCAAUGAAAUGUAUAAGGCAAUGAAAUUUAUAUUAUGCUGAACAAGGUGUAUUUUUAAUUUUGUGUUCCAGGAAACCAAUCAGAAAUAGGUAGGAGAGGAAGAAAAAGGAUAGGAAAUUAGAGCAAAUGCAUUUCUUAUGAAUUACUCCGUUGAACCUCUGAUGAAAAUAUAAAGCAACCCAAAAUCGCAACAAAUAGCUAUGUUGAGAGAAAUAGAUACCUACAACACCAACACUCUUUGGACACAAUCCAUUUAUAUCAACAUAAAAAAGGAAGCAACCAAUCAACUACUUCUUUACUUACUUUGGUUUUUACAACAUAGAUGCAAGGCAUUGAUCCUGUGCUGUAUGGAGCAAGAUUAAAAAAAACCUGCAGCAUGAAAUCCAAUCUACCAUAUUGUAAUAUGGGAUCAAGCAAAAAAAAAAAAAGAGAAGUCUCAUGAAAAGCAUAUUCUUGCAUAGGAUGUUAAAGAAAAUUUAUGUUCAGACUUCUCCCCUGAAUGUUGUACAAUCUCUGCAUUUCAACUGAUGCUGUAAUUCCUUGCCAAAUACAGUUGUGUGAAAUAUCUUACAACUUGAAUACAGUUGUGUGAAAUAGCUUACAAACCAUGGUAGCCAUAGUUUUGGAUUGAAAACUUCAUCAAGCAAAAGCAAGAUGCUCGGAAUUCUCUGGCAGAUAUUCCUAUGUUGAUUAUAGAUAUCUAGCGCAGAGUUUUACUUAAGGGCCAGGUUACUCUUUGACUAAUGCUUUGACUUUAUUCUUUUGCUGAAUACAGAAAGUGUAAAACUCGGUUCUUUGUGAACUGUACUCUCAGUUCCACUUCAGUACCGGAUAUGUGUACAAUACACAUAGUAUUUACACACUAAAAAAAGAAAUCUCAACACAAAGAAAUACUGACAGAUAGAAGAUUAAUAUUUUUUCCUCAUGGCAACAGAACUCUUUCUUCUGCUAAAAAUAUUUUAAGUGAUUAAUGUAUUUUUAUCAUAUUUAUAUAUUUUUCUAUAGAGAAAAGAAAAAUUCCAGUGAGAUAGAAUCACUCAUACUGGUCAAAUAUAUCAUGAAAAAGUAGCAAAAUACAGCUUAGGUGACAUAUUGUCUUUAGUAUCAACGUGUAUCAGAUACAUCUGCAAGUGAUUCAGAUCAGUCCAUAAAGUGUUUUCAAAAUUACCCCUGAACCUUUUAUACAAGUUUAGCUGAACUUUAUUUUUGAAAUAUUUAACCAAUUUUUUUUUCCAUUUUGAAGGAGAAUUACAGUUUACAGGAAGCAUUUGAAAAAGAAACAGGCAAGUAUUUUCAAACAAAACAAUUCUGAAGAAGAAAUCGUCAGACAAAGGAAUAGAUAUGCCUUGCAGCUAGAGUCACUAACACAAUGUUGAAUUCAUUCAGCUA
ensembl:lncRNA